UUCAAAAGUAUUCUCUGGUCACAAGGCCAGAGCCCUGGGUUUUAGCCUUCUGGUUAGAGAGUCUGACUCCCAUGCAGAGGAUCGUGAGUUCGUGUCCUGAGAGGAGUGAAUGGGCGGAGUCAUAACAACACAAUGCAGAGUGCA